rnacentral:rRNA from 1 species
CCUACGGGGGGCAGCAGUAGGGAAUCUUGCACAAUGGGCGAAAGCCUGAUGGAGCAACGCCGCGUGCAGGAUGAAGUAUUUCGGGAUGUAAACUGCUUUUAUAAGCGAAGAAUAUGAUGGUAACUUAUGAAUAAGGAUCGGCUAACUACGUGCCAGCAGCCGCGGUCAUACGUAGGAGCCGAGCAUUAUCCGGAUUUACUGGGUGUAAAGAGUUCGUUAGGAGGCAUCAUAAGUAGCUAUUUAAAUCUGGUGGCUCAACCACUCAGACUAUUAGUUAAACUGUAAAGCUAGAGACCGGUAGAGGCAAGCGGAAUUUCUAGUGUAGGAGUGAAAUGCGUAGAUAUUAGAAGGAACACCAAUAGCGUAGGCAGGUUGCUGGGACGGGUCUGACGCUAAGGCACGAAAGCGUAGGGAGCAAACGGGAUUAGAUACCCGAGUAGUC